AGUGUUUCCUACUUUAUGGAUG
rnacentral:ncRNA from 6 species